UCAUCCCUCCCACAUCCACCGCUCCAUCGCUCCCGCAUCCCCGCAUCCACCGCUCCAUCGCCAUCCCCUAACCAUCCCGUGCCGCCGUCGCCUUCGAUCCUCCCCGCCGCCAUCGCCGUCCUCCUCCACCGCGUCGCCGACGGCUCCAUUACCGUCCCCUAACCGUCCCGUGCCGCCGCCGCCUUCGCUCCUCCCCGCCGUACUCCACCAGCUCCCUACCCCACUGCUCGCCUCGCCGCUGCCACCGCCUCCGUCGAACCACCGCUGGCGCGGGGAGGACUCCUCGUGGCCGACUCCGAAACCCUAGACACUACCCCCAACGCCGGUCACGCCGUCCGGUCCGUCGCCGCGUCCUCCUCUCCAUCACCCGCCGCCAAGGGAUUCAAGGCCCCUGUUCAGCCCCUUCUGCCACCCCACAUGCCUUCUAUACAGCAUCCUUUGACUAGCAAGCAACCUGGGAAGACCUUGAAGAUUUGAAGACAAGGUUUCCUGGACUUCCUGCUUGGGGACAAGCAGGCUUUCAAGGGGUAGGGAUUGUCAGGAACACGCCAAGCAACGCCAAGGUAGCGGUACAAAAAGAUACAGAAGAGGAGAUCCGUCCUGAUGAAUCUGAAGAGCAAGAGGAAGAAGCUGAAGCUCCAGUGGAGAGCGAUGGCGCGAAGCAAGGAGGAGGAGAACAAGACUUGGUGGCCAAGCGUCGGUCGUCAAGGCCUAUCAAGCCCAACCCACGUUAUCAAGUCUCUCAAUGGGUUGCGUAAAGCAGUUGUCGUUGUAACAGCCUGGCUCUGUCCAGCUGGCGAUGUAUCACGUGAGAGAGAGGAGGAGUAGUAUAUGUACUCAAGUCUAAGAAGAACAGAGACAUGUCUUGAGACUGGCAACUCGGAGGCGAAGGCGGCGGCGGACUCAAUCCUGUUGGAUUGGAGUAUAAUUCCACUAAAGUUGCCUAUCUAUCGUGUGUUCUUGUGUUCUUGUGAUUUGUUUCCCUUUUUCCUGCUUAAAUCAGUGUUGAAUCUUGUAAGAUCCUGUCAGCCGGCUGCAUCAACCCCCCACAUCCCGGCCUCCCACUAGACCACCACCCUCAUCCCGCGGCGGCCUCCAUCGUCGACUCCGCUUCCCCCGUGCGCAGCCCACAUCCACGCCGACAGUCCGUCGCCUACGCCACGUCUCGCAACUGGAUCCGCUCCUCUCCGUCGAUCUCCACCACGGUCCCUUUCGCGCCGCACCGGAAGCUGCCCGCCAGUCCUCUGAUCGUCGCUGGAUGCUGUCGGCGGGUGAUGCAGUACUCACCCGUCUCCCCUCCAUCAGCCGCACCGGAAGCUGCCCGCCAGUCCUCCGAUCGUCGCUGGAUGCUGUCGGCGGGUGAUGCAGUACUCACCCGUCUCCCCUCCAUCACUGAGGGACAUUCCCAUCAACAAAAGGUACACUUGGCGGCAUCACUAAUUUAACUCCAAUCGCUUAUAUACAAAGCUGCCGAGAAUUGAGUUUAAUUUAUGCGGAAGAGUGCUAGGGAGCGGUAUGCUGCUCUUAGUGCUGACGACAAGGAAGCUAGGCUUCAAAAGAUGCGAGAGUACUACCAGCGAAAAAAGAGUAUUGAUCCUGUACCUACCCAUGGUAUUUAAAUUAUUAUCUCACAAACGGCGUAGAUCUGAAGUGAAAUCUUGCCACUGGACACAAGCUCACUCUUCUUCAGGACGUCAGGUUCCUUCAUCACCCGGGUACUCUUUCCUACUGUGAAAAUAAGACCAGUUUCUUCUGUUUGUCCUGUUUUUACUUGAUUAAUUUCUGCGAUAUCAAUUUUUUAACAUGCGAUAGAAAUAUCGUUGAUCUA